AUGUCUGUUUUGGAGGAGAACCCAGGUAUGAAAAUGGACUGUGAAGACUGGGAAAGAUAUGAGCCUCAGUGCUCCUCAGAAGACCCAGACAGAGAUGCCUUGGAGCCAGGCCCCAGCCUCACCUCUGUGAGUUCUGCCCAUGCAGAAAUCUUCUUUGUAUUAGCCUCCCGUGUGAUGUCAGCUCAUGAGAACAAAGGAAGCCCCAUUCUUCUAGCCGUCUCUAAAGGCGAGCUGUGUCUCUACUGUGACAAAAACAAAGGACACAACAAGCCAUCCCUGCAGCUGAAGAAGAAGAAACUUUCCACACUGGCUGCCCAGGAGAAAGGGAAAUGUCUGCCCUACAUCUUUUAUCGGAAUAAAGUCAGCUCUCGGAAUACCUUAGAGUCGGCUGCCCACCCUGGAUGGUUUAUCUGCACCUUCCGCUAUCCUGGGAAACCAGUUGGAAUGACAAAAUGUCACGGAGAAAGGAAACACACUGAGUUUUCAUUUCGGCAGAUCUAUGAAGCUGAAACGAGCCCCAGUGAAGUCAGUGAAUAA
rnacentral:lncRNA from 1 species